ACUGAAGACAGUGGUGUGUGCCUGUGGUCCCAGCUACUCAGGAGGCUGACGUGGGAGGAUUGCUUGAGCCCAGGAUUUCUGGGUUAUAUCCUAGAUCAGUGCUAUGCUGAUAAGUGUCCACACUAAGUUCAGCAUCAAUAUGGUGACCUCCCAGGAGUGGGGAACCACCAGGUUGCCUAAGGAGGUGUAAACCGGCCCAUAUUGGAAACAUAGCAGGUCGAAACUUCCGUGCUGAUUAGUAAUGGAAUUGCGCCCGUGAACAGCCGCUGCACUCCAGCCUGGGCAAUAUGGCAAGACCCCACCUCU
rnacentral:SRP_RNA from 1 species